UACGGGGGGUGCGAGCGUUGUUCGGAUUUACUGGGCGUAAAGGGCGCGUAGGCGGUCAGCACAAGUCAGUUGUGAAAUCUCCGGGCUUAACUCGGAAAGGUCAACUGAUACUGUGCGACUAGAGUGGCAGAAGGGGCAACUGGAAUUCUCGGUGUAGCGGUGAAAUGCGUAGAUAUCUGGAGGAACACCGGUGGCGAAGGCGGCAUCCUGGACCACGACUGACGCUGAUGAGCGAAAGCCAGGGGAGCAAACGGG
rnacentral:rRNA from 1 species